rnacentral:rRNA from 1 species
CCUACGGGAGGCAGCAGUAGGGAAUCUUCCACAAUGGACGAAAGUCUGAUGGAGCAACGCCGCGUGAGCGAUGAAGGCCUUCGGGUCGUAAAGCUCUGUUGUUAGGGAAGAACAAGUACCGGAGUAACUGCCGGUACCUUGACGGUACCUGACCAGAAAGCCACGGCUAACUACGUGCCAGCAGCCGCGGUAAUACGUAGGUGGCAAGCGUUGUCCGGAAUUAUUGGGCGUAAAGCGCGCGCAGGCGGUCCUUUAAGUCUGAUGUGAAAGCCCACGGCUCAACCGUGGAGGGUCAUUGGAAACUGGGGAACUUGAGUGCAGAAGAGGAGAGCGGAAUUCCACGUGUAGCGGUGAAAUGCGUAGAGAUGUGGAGGAACACCAGUGGCGAAGGCGGCUCUCUGGUCUGUAACUGACGCUGAGGCGCGAAAGCGUGGGGAGCGAACAGGAUUAGAUACCCUGGUAGUCCACGCCGUAAACGAUGAGUGCUAAGUGUUAGAGGGUUUCCGCCCUUUAGUGCUGCAGCAAACGCAUUAAGCACUCCGCCUGGGGAGUACGGCCGCAAGGCUGAAACUCAAAGGAAUUGACGG